rnacentral:rRNA from 1 species
AGACCCGAAACCCGGUGAUCUAGCCAUGGGCAGGUUGAAGGUUGGGUAACACUAACUGGAGGACCGAACCGACUAAUGUUGAAAAAUUAGCGGAUGACCUGUGGCUGGGGGUGAAAGGCCAAUCAAACCGGGAGAUAGCUGGUUCUCCCCGAAAGCUAUUUAGGUAGCGCCUCGUGAAUUCAUCUCCGGGGGUAGAGCACUGUUUCGGCUAGGGGGCCAUCCCGGCUUACCAACCCGAUGCAAACUGCGAAUACCGGAGAAUGUUAUCACGGGAGACACACGGCGGGUGCUAACGUCCGUCGUGAAGAGGGAAACAACCCAGACCGCCAGCUAAGGUCCCAAAGUCAUGGUUAAGUGGGAAACGAUGUGGGAAGGCCCAGACAGCCAGGAUGUUGGCUUAGAAGCAGCCAUCAUUUAAAGAAAGCGUAAUAGCUCACUGGUCGAGUCGGCCUGCGCGGAAGAUGUAACGGGGCUAAACCAUGCACCGAAGCUGCGGCAGCGACGCUUA